GCAGCCGCGGUAAUUCCAGCUCCAAUAGCGUAUAUUAAAGUUGUUGCAGUUAAAAAGCUCGUAGUUGAAUUUCGGGGUUAGUAAGUUGGUCAUGCCUUCGGUAUGUACUGGCUUUACUGAUUCCUCCUUCUUGACGAACCGUGAUGUCAUUAAUUUGGUGUUGCGGGAAAUCAGGACUGUUACUUUGAAAAAAUUAGAGUGUUUAAAGCAGGCUAACGCUUGAAUACAUUAGCAUGGAAUAAUGAAAUAGGACGUUAAUCCUAUUUUGUUGGUUUCUAGGAUCGACGUAAUGAUUAAUAGGGAUAGUUGGG
rnacentral:rRNA from 1 species